rnacentral:rRNA from 1 species
GUGAACGCUGGCGGUAGGCCUAACCCAUGCACGUCGAACGGCAGCACAGUAAGAGCUUGCUCUUACGGGUGGCGAGUGGCGGACGGGUGAGGAAUACAUCGGAAUCUACUUUUUCGUGGGGGAUAACGUAGGUAAACUUACGCUAAUACCGCAUACGACCUACGGGUGAAAGCAGGGGAUCUUCGGACCUUGCGCGAUUGAAUGAGCCGAUGUCGGAUUAGCUAGUUGGCGGGGUAAAGGCCCACCAAGGCGACGAUCCGUAGCUGGUCUGAGAGGAUGAUCAGCCACACUGGAACUGAGACACGGUCCAGACUCCUACGGGAGGCAGCAGUGGGGAAUAUUGGACAAUGGGCGCAAGCCUGAUCCAGCCAUACCGCGUGGGUGAAGAAGGCCUUCGGGUUGUAAAGCCCUUUUGUUGGGAAAGAAAAGCAGCAGGUUAAUACCCCGCUGUUCUGACGGUACCCAAAGAAUAAGCACCGGCUAACUUCGUG